CAGCAGCCGCGGGAAUACGUAGGGUGCAAGCGUUAAUCGGAAUUACUGGGCGUAAAGCGUGCGCAGGCGGUUUGUUAAGACAGAUGUGAAAUCCCCGGGCUCAACCUGGGAACUGCAUUUGUGACUGGCAAGCUAGAGUAUGGCAGAGGGAGGUGGAAUUCCGCGUGUAGCAGUGAAAUGCGUAGAUAUGCGGAGGAACACCGAUGGCGAAGGCAGCCCCCUGGGCCAAUACUGACGCUCAUGCACGAAAGCGUGGGGAGCAAACAGGAUUAGAUACCCCCGUAGUCCCUGUCUCUUAUAC
rnacentral:rRNA from 1 species